rnacentral:rRNA from 1 species
CAAAUGAAUUGAGGGACCCCGCACAAGCGUGGAUCAUGUUGUUUAAUUCGACGAUACGCGAAGAACCUUACCAGGUCUUGACAUCCCUGCAAAGCUAUGGAGACAUAGUGGAGGUUAUCAGGGAGACAGGUGGUGCAUGGUUGUCGUCAGCUCGUGUCGUGAGAUGUUGGGUUAAGUCCCGCAACGAGCGCAACCCUUAUUGCUAGUUACCAUCAUUAAGUUGGGGACUCUAGCGAGACUGCCAGUGAUAAACUGGAGGAAGGUGGGGAUGACGUCAAAUCAUCAUGCCCCUUAUGACCUGGGCUACAAACGUGAUACAAUGGCUGAAACAAAGGGCAGCGAAGGAGCGAUCUGGAGCGAAACCCAAAAAAGCAGUCUCAGUUCGGAUUGAAGUCUGCAACUCGACUUCAUGAAGUCGGAAUCGCUAGUAAUCGCGGAUCGGAACGCCGCGGUGAAUACGUUCUCGGGGUUU